ensembl:lncRNA
CAAUGUGAGUGCUGACGUGGUGGGGGAAACAUAUCGUGAGCAGGCUGCAAGGCAUCAUUGUGUGAAGGCUAUAAUUUUUGACACAAAAAAUGGAAAACAACUUUGUGCUGAUCCAGACGCUCAGUGGGUCAAAGAUCUCACUGCCAAAAUGAGGAAGGUGUGAAGUCUGUCUGCUGCAUCAGUAUUUCCAGUAUUUCCAUCACCAUUAAAGGCUUAUUCAAACCAGAGCGCUUUCUCAGCCUGACUGUCUUAAAACUUUCUUUUUUGCAUUUGUAGAUUAAUUUUUACUCUUACCUGUGGAGUAAACCUGUAUUUUAUUCAUGCUGUUGAGUUCAUUGUUUUUCAAUUGGUCAUUUGAGCUCAGGUUUUAUUUGUCUUUUGUUUUUUGUGCAUUAUGUGUUUAUGUGAAGAACAAUGUGGUUGUGAAAAACAAUAUAAAAAUAAACUUUUGUAUUAUUGAG